rnacentral:rRNA from 1 species
GACGAACGCUGGCGGCGUGCUUAACACAUGCAAGUCGAACGAAGUGGCGAACGGGUGAGUAACGCGUAAUAAACCUGCCCUUCAGAGGGGGACAACAGUUGGAAACGACUGCUAAUACCGCAUACUGAAGGAGGGGAUUGCGUCUGAGUAGCUAGUUGGAGGGGUAACGGCCCACCAAGGCGAUGAACAGUAGCCGGUCUGGGAGGAGGAAUGGGCCAAUUGGGACUGGGAAACGGCCCAGACUCCUACGGUAGGCAGCAGUGGGGAAUCUGCCGAAAUGGACGAAAGUCUGACGGAGCAACGCCGCGUGAGUGAUGACGGCCUUCGGGUUGUAAAGCUCUGUUAAUCGGGACGCGGUACCGGAAUAGAAAGCCACGGCUAACUACGUGCCAGCAGCCGCGGUAAUAC